ACCAAUGAGUCAGGCAAAGGAGGCAGUGAAAUUAUUCCCAUUUUACAGACUUAAGAAACCAAGUUCAAGUGAUUUGCUCAAGGUCAGAUAGCUACUUAGUUAGGGUCAGCCAAGUCCAAGUCGAACAACAUAAUGUAAAUAUGUACAAUGUACAUAUUUCCUUUCCUCCUCCUGAGUUAGGGGUUGACUGCCCAGCUCAGGCAAGCCAAAAUAUUUGCAGAUCAUAGCCAUCCACCCCAACCAGUGACAGCAGUGAUGAUGAUGGCCCAUCUGUACCAGACUUGACCGACUUGACGGUGGGACCGGGAGGCCUCAGGGAGGGCUUCCCGCUCUGAGGCCCCGCCUUCUGGCGGCCCCCAGCAGGAAAGCGGGCAGCGGCGGCGACCGGUCUCCGAAGCUAGGCAGUGGAAAUCCCCAGCACUGGUGCGGACUGGUGGGAACCCACUGGCACCCCUGCUCCCUGCUGAGGCCCAUGCGGAAGCCGAGCCCCGAGGUUCCUGGCUCCUGGGGAAGGGGUCCCUUGGAGAGGCCGGAGCAAGGCCCAACCCAGAAGUUUGUUUUCACCGGGUCCAGCUUACUGCCAGGCACAGCGUUACCAAAAAAGGCCUUUCUCCUGCCAGAGCGCUUGGCUGCGUACGGCUGUGCAGCGGGGUGACGCGAGGUUCAGCCCGGGCCUCUUCGAAGGCUGAGCCAGUUGGCGGCAGGGAUGCCAGGCCGAAGAGUCCCCAGCCCGACCCAUCUCUGCCACAAAGGGCUCGAAACGGCUCGGGGACAGAAGGGAGACUGCAGGGAGCUCAGAAAUGUGUGGACACGCUGCGACCUUCUCACCCUUAAGGUUGGGCGGUGGUCUCUGGCAAGGCCAAGUGGAGAGUUGACCAGUUUAGAGGGGGACAGUUCUCUGAGGGUGUCAGCUCAGAUGGCACGCUGGAGGAGCGACAACCAUAGGAAGUAAAUUCAGGGAGGACUGCAGGCGUUUCCUCCUUGAGCCUGGUUGAACCUGGCUUUGCUGGUCUCCCAGACUCCACCUCCAGUCUCUCCACCUGCUGUCUUAGGUCGAGCCCCAGACCAACCCCAUCCUUCCCACCCACACUGUGGACACAGCACUGUCACAGGGGCUUCGCCUUCCAGGGAGAAUCUGCCUCCAAAACAUUGAUGUUCUUGCUUCUCACAAUCCUGGACACAUCCCCAAAUAGGGCCAUCUCAGACAAGCAGUUAGGACAAAACUGACCACCAUAAAUGACGGUGAUUCUUUAAGGGUGGAAGGGUGUCAAGAGAACUAUGCUUUUUAAAUUAAAGGAUUAUGAGACUGUAAUGGAA